GAUUGAACGCUGGCGGCAGGCCUAACACAUGCAAGUCGAGCGGAUGAAGGGAGCUUGCUCCUGGACUCAGCGGCGGACGGGUGAGUAAUGCCUAGGAAUCUGCCCGGUAGUGGGGGAUAACGUCCGGAAACGGGCGCUAAUACCGCAUACGUCCUGAGGGAGAAAGUGGGGGAUCUUCGGACCUCACGCUAUCAGAUGAGCCUAGGUCGGAUUAGCUAGUUGGUGGGGUAAAGGCCUACCAAGGCGACGAUCCGUAACUGGUCUGAGAGGAUGAUCAGUCACACUGGAACUGAGACACGGUCCAGACUCCUACGGGAGGCAGCAGUGGGGAAUAUUGGACAAUGGGCGAAAGCCUGAUCCAGCCAUGCCGCGUGUGUGAAGAAGGUCUUCGGAUUGUAAAGCACUUUAAGUUGGGAGGAAGGGCAGUAAGUUAAUACCUUGCUGUUUUGACGUUACCAACAGAAUAAGCACCGGCUAACUUCGUG
rnacentral:rRNA from 1 species